AGCAUGUGGUUUAAUUCGAAGCAACGCGAAGAACCUUACCAGGGCUUGACAUGCCGCUGACCGGUUUAGAGAUAGAUCUUUACCCUUCGGGUACAGCGGACACAGGUGGUGCAUGGUUGUCGUCAGCUCGUGUCGUGAGAUGUUGGGUUAAGUCCCGCAACGAGCGCAACCCUUGUCUUUAGUUGCCAUCAUUAAGUUGGGCACUCUAAAGAGACUGCCGAUGACAAAUCGGAGGAAGGUGGGGAUGACGUCAAAUCAUCAUGCCCUUUAUGUCCUGGGCUACACACGUGCUACAAUGGUCGGUACAACGAGAAGCAAGUCAGCGAUGGCAAGCAAAUCUCUAAAAGCCGAUCCCAGUUCGGAUUGCAGGCUGCAACUCGCCUGCAUGAAGUCGGAGUUGCUAGUAAUCGCGGAUCAGAAUGCCGCGGUGAAUGCGUUCCCGGGUCUU
rnacentral:rRNA from 2 species